UCUAAUACUGGAUACUACCUCUUACCGCAUGGUGGGUGGUGGAAAGGGUUUUACUGGUUUUGGAUGGGCUCACGGCCUAUCAGCUUGUUGGUGGGGUAAUGGCUCACCAAGGCGACGACGGGUAGCCGGCCUGAGAGGGUGACCGGCCACACUGGGACUGAGACACGGCCCAGACUCCUACGGGAGGCAGCAGUGGGGAAUAUUGCACAAUGGGCGGAAGCCUGAUGCAGCGACGCCGCGUGAGGGAUGACGGCCUUCGGGUUGUAAACCUCUUUCAGUAGGGAAGAAGCGAGAGUGACGGUACCUGCAGAAGAAGCGCCGGCUAACUACGUGCCAGCAGCCGCGGUAAUACGUAGGGCGCAAGCGUUGUCCGGAAUUAUUGGGCGUAAAGAGCUCGUAGGCGGUUUGUCGCGUCUGCUGUGAAAGCCCGGGGCUCAACCCCGGGUCUGCAGUGGGUACGGGCAGACUAGAGUGCAGUAGGGGAGACUGGAAUUCCUGGUGUAGCGGUGAAAUGCGCAGAUAUCAGGAGGAACACCGAUGGCGAAGGCA
rnacentral:rRNA from 1 species